rnacentral:rRNA from 1 species
UACAGAGGUCCCAAGCGUUGUUCGGAUUCACUGGGCGUAAAGGGUGCGUAGGUGGCCGGUUAAGUCUGACGUGAAAUCUCCGAGCCUAACUCGGAAACUGCAUCGGAAACUAUCCGGCUCGAGGGUUGGAGGGGGGACUGGAAUACUUGGUGUAGCAGUGAAAUGCGUAGAUAUCCGGAGGAACACCGAAGGCGAAGGCAGUGUCCUGGCGAGUAUCCUGACGCUGAGGUGCGAAAGCCAGGGGAGCGAACGGG